CAAAGUCUAGAGUCUCUGCACAUAGACAUUCUACCUGUUUUCAAGUCCAGAGAAUAUGGGGCCUAACAGCUUAGUGAAAUGCAUUUCCCCAAACGCCCAAGGAACAUCUCAGCCAGGCCUCUGCUUGACACUGGUUCACAGCUUCUACUUGCCUCUGGAACACUCUCUCCAGACUCCAGCUCAGAAGGAAGGUUGCUGCCCUGUGCAAAGUCUGUUUGAGAACCCCUCUCAAUCCAGAAAAUGCUCACCAGGUCUCCAUUUUCCUAGUCAUCCCACCCAGGUGCAAGUCAAGGAGCAAUCGUGGGUCUUCUCAGGCCAGCAAACACCUGGUGGAGAAGAAUGGGAAGCCCAGACGUGUGGGCUCAGUCUAGCCAUCCCAGGGGCCUCAGCUAGUCUAACAACUCCAGCUGUGGACACAAGCAUCAUGCAUCUCAGAUAAGCUGUGUCUUCUAUGUCUGCUCUGGCUUGUGAUCUACAGAAGCCUAACAUUAUGGCUAAAGCCAUACAUUGAUUUUGGUGAUGGUUCACAGCCCAUUGGUGUGCUUAUCAAACUGUACGUGCCUGUUUAUACAGUUUACUGUGUGUCAGUUAUAUUUAAACAAAACUGUUGACAUUUUUAAUAAAAAUAAUUGCUGCUUAG